rnacentral:lncRNA from 1 species
GCGGCCAGGGCGUACAGCAGAGGGGUGUCUUGUCUGUUUAGUGGUCCCGGGCUUCCCUGGACCUCUGGAGACCGUGGGUCACUGUGCCCAGCGACUGCCUGCUCAGGUCGCUGGGUCGUUGAAAGGACAGUGUCCUUCGAGAUGAGAACCCCACGGUUCUGAGGAGGAAGUGACCAGCCCAGAGACACACACAGGUCAUAAGUGGCAGAGCCCUGGCUAGAAUCUAGGUAUGUCUCCAAGUUCACUGCAGCCAAAAUAAAUUUCCUAGAGGCAAACAAUGGCCAAAGCCCUUGCCGUGGUCCCUCUUUCACCAAGAAAACCCAAAGUUAAAGUGGGAAGUCAACUUCAAGUGCCAUAAAUUCCAGAAUAAUUC